GAUGAACGCUAGCGGGAGGCUUAACACAUGCAAGUCGAGGGGCAGCAUAGGGUAGCAAUACUCUGAUGGCGACCGGCAAACGGGUGAGUAACGCGUAUGCAACCUACCCUGUACAGGGGGAUAACCCGGAGAAAUUCGGACUAAUAUCCCGUAAUAAUAUCCGGAGGCAUCUUUGGAUAUUUAAGUUCCGACGGUACGGGAUGGGCAUGCGUAACAUUAGCUGGUUGGUAAGGUAACGGCUUACCAAGGCUAUGAUGUUUAGGGGUCCUGAGAGGGUGGUCCCCCACACUGGUACUGAGACACGGACCAGACUCCUACGGGAGGCAGCAGUGAGGAAUAUUGGUCAAUGGGCGCAAGCCUGAACCAGCCAUCCCGCGUGCAGGAAGACGGCCCUAUGGGUUGUAAACUGCUUUUCCAGGGAGAGAAACUUACGCACGUGUUGCGUGACUGACGGUACCCUGGGAAUAAGCAUCGGCUAACUCCGUG
rnacentral:rRNA from 1 species